rnacentral:ncRNA from 1 species
AAGGCCUGAUGUGUGUGAGAUUACCCGCUGAAUUUAAGCAUAUAAGUAAGCGGAGGAAAAGAAACUAACUAGGAUUCCCUUAGUAAUGGCGAAUGAACAGGGAUCAGCUCAGUGCCAAAUCGGAAUCACUUGUGGUUCUGAAAUGUGGCUUGAAGGCAGUACCAGUGGCAUCGCGGACGAAAGUCUCUUGGAAAAGAGCGUCAUAGAGGGUGAGAAUCCCGUGAGUCGUUCGCCGUUUGUCACGUACGGUCUGCGUUCUAACGAGUCGCGUUCCUUGGGAUUGGAGCGUAAACGGGUGGUAAAUUUCAUCCAAAGCAAAAUAUAUACUCGAGACCGAUAGCACAAAAGUACCGUGAGGGAAAGGUGAAAAGAACUUUGAGAAGAGGGUUAAAUAGUGCCUGAAAUCGUUGAGAAGGAAGCGGAUGCCGCCGUUGCAUAUGCUGAUUGUAGGAUUGCUGCUCGCUCCUGUCUUCUGCUACUCAUUCACAGACCUGGUCGUGUUGAGCAGUUGUUUGGCAGAUGUUAGUGGUGUUUCCUACUUUCAGUCGUCAGCAUCACUGGCUGAGUGAAA